rnacentral:rRNA from 1 species
CUUUACUGACGCUAAAGCUCGAAGGUGCGGGUAUCGAACAGGAUUAGAUACCCUGGUAGUCCGCACGGUAAACGAUGGAUGCCCGCUGUUGGCGAUACAGUGUCAGCGGCCAAGCGAAAGCGUUAAGCAUCCCACCUGGGGAGUACGCCGGCAACGGUGAAACUCAAAGGAAUUGACGGGGGCCCGCACAAGCGGAGGAACAUGUGGUUUAAUUCGAUGAUACGCGAGGAACCUUACCCGGGCUUGAACUGCAGGGGAACGAUCCAGAGAUGGUGAGGUCAGCAAUGACUCCUGUGGAGGUGCUGCAUGGUUGUCGUCAGCUCGUGCCGUGAGGUGUCGGCUUAAGUGCCAUAACGAGCGCAACCCUUUUCUCUAGUUGCCAUCAGGUUAGGCUGGGCACUCUGGAGACACUGCCACCGUAAGGUGUGAGGAAGGUGGGGAUGACGUCAAAUCAGCACGGCCCUUACGUCCGGGGCUACACACGUGUUACAAUGGGUGAUACAGAGAGUUAGUCGUUCGCAAGAACGGUUUAAUCAAGAAAGUCAUCCUCAGUUCGGAUUGGGGUCUGCAACCCGACCCCAUGAAGCUGGAUUCGCUAGU